CAUUCUCCUGCAAGUAGCAUACAUCGUUUGUAUUAUUUCCGAUAUUCUUUUUAAUAUAAUCAAACCGCAAAAUGCAUGGCCAUAUGAAGAAAUGAACAAAUGCAUUUGCUGAAUAAUAGCAUUCUUUAAAGUAGCAGGACAGGAUGAACAAUGCCGGCGAUCUCCAGGACCACAUCUUCAGCCGCUGCGUCCUCGGGGCUCGAGUUUGGCAGCGGAUUGAUGACGAACGAAGAAACGGUCUUUAUUAAAUAAGGCGCCGGGCAGGCAGGUAAAUGGGGACACGCUUCACGCUCGUGCAGCCCCGGCUGCUGGGAGGCGUAAAGGAGGAUAAGCAAUCGACUGCGCAGCACUCAGCGAAAUCUCCACACCUGUUGCUGGUUAAUGCUAUGAAUCCGUAGCUAGACAUAAUUGGGGUCCAGGAAGCACCACAUACGGGGAGUUAUUGUGUAAUUUGCUGGUAAUCAGACAAUUCACAUGUGGUUAAAGUGCGGAUUCUCAGCUUUUAUAUAUAUGUUGGUUUCAUCAUGUAAAAAUUACUGAACAUUUUAUACACAGUCCCCCCAUUUCAGGGCACCAUAAUAUCUGGGAAAGGCUUCACAGGUGUUUCUGAUUGGUCAGGUGUGAUCAAUUGAAUCUUUAGUGCUUAGUCUAGGCUUUUGAUUGCCUUUGAAGUCUAAUAUUGGGGUUUGUAAACAUGACGACUAGAGUUGUGCUAAUUAAAGCCAAGGAAGCCUUAAGAAGGUGAGAUAUAAGAAAAAAAACAGUCAAAGGCAUAGGCCAAACCGUAGGCUUACCAAAAUGAACUGUUUGGAACAUCAUUAAGAAGGAAGAGAGCACCUGUCAGUAAUCACAAAGGAACUGGUUGGCCAUGUAAGACCUCUACAGUUGAUGACUGAAGAAUUCUUACCACAAUGAAGAAAAACCACUAAACACCUGUCUGACUGAUCAGAAACACUCUUCAGGAAGCAGGCGUGGACGUGUUAGUGACUGUCCACAGACAAUUUCACAAACAGGACUACAGAGGCUAUACUUCUAAAUGCAAAGCACUAGUUAACCAGAAAACAGGACGGUUGGGUUACAGUUAGCCAAGAAGGACCUAAAAGAGUGUGCAUAGUUCUGGCAAAAGGGCUUAUGGACAGAUUCACUUGUAUCAGAAUGAUGGCAAGAGCAAAGCGUGAAGGCCAAAAACAACUGCCCAAGAUCCUAAGCUCCCGCCCCCCCUGCCCUCAUCUGUGAAACAUGGUGGUGGGGUAUGUAUAGCUUCCACAGGUACUGGCUCACCUGUCUUCAUUGAUGAUGUGACUGCUGACAGCAGCAGCAGAAUUAAUUCUGAAGUGUACAGAAGCAUCUUACCUGCUCAAAUUCAAGCAACUACCUCCAAAAUCAUUGGACAGCGCUUCAUCCUCCAAAAUCAUUGGACAGCGCUUCAUCCUAUAGCAAUAUAUCUUUUUUGGUUAUUGUUCUCAUUUUGUAGCUUGUUCGAUCCUGACAAUGAGAGAGGACUUAUUUACCUCCUUCUUUGUGAUGUUUAAGCUCAUGUCUGAACAAUAAAUACAUUUUUCAGAGAGUGGAGACUCAUAUGACACCACCAUGGACUGAAUAUAAAUUCUACACACAUGGAACCCCAGGAGCUGUGCUGAUCCAAAGAAGAAGAAAAAGGCACAGAUGCACACAUAACAUAAAAGCUACGGAGUCAAAAUUAUUGGCCACUCUCUUGUUAUGUUUUAACAGCCAAUAAGAAGGUUUAGGAAACCCGAACACAACGUUAGCUUGGAGUGAAUCCAAGUUUCCUGUAGACUCCCCACACUGGGCAGCUCAUAGUACAUACAAAAGAAAAAUAAAUUAUUAUUAUUAUUAUUAUUAUUA